ACAAGUCCUGAUACAUAUAUUAAUGGAAGAAUGUUUUUAAACCGAGUGUGACACUUUAAUUAAAGGUUACCAUUACCUUGAAUAGACCAAGUCUGAUUUUCAAAUGAUACUCUUUUCAAAUAUAAAUAUAGGAAUGUUUUGGAAAUCAUAAUGUUUAUUUAUACCUUUUUACUGCCAAAGAACACGCAGGUGACAAUUGAAAUAUAUUAACAAAUAAAUAUUUCAAGUAAAUGAAUGCAAAUUAAUCAAUAAAUAUGAAAUGAUAUGAUGAAUGCACAUUAAUGAAUAAAUGGUCAAAAUAGAACUCAGAUUUGAUGAAUAUUAUGGCAAUAAAUUACUCAAUGUUGAGCUUACAUAGAUGUGAUCUCUUCGUAUUUUGUCAGGAGAUUCUGAGACUGUAGAGCGAUGUAGUAGCUAUCCAGAUUUUCUGCGAAUACUAGACAAUCCUGAUUCCCGAGUUCUGAAUCUUACAAUGGACAGCAUGAUUUUGGAAUACUAAUAACUAUAUAUCUUGCAGUUUCUCACAGACCCCAUGGACACUUUGUUUACACAAACACCUCUUAAUAAAAUCAAUUUAAAACAAUUUGGUGAAAUCUAUCAGAUGAAGGGCAAAUAA